rnacentral:lncRNA from 1 species
UCUUAGGUCAGCUUUCUCCAAAGUAGUGUCUAAUUUGUAAAAUUUUCUCAUGACUUUUAUUUCUCAAUGUAUGCUUUCAUCGAUCUCGCAGAGUUCUUGGGGCUGGAAUGGAGAACAAUGACUUCAGGCAAUGUGUGGUCUGCCCUUGGCAGUGGCCUUUCCUUUGGCUUUUCCUGGUCAAAAUGGUUCAGACUCCCUUGAGUGAGCAGCACAGCCACAGAAGAAUCCCAUCUCUUUUCUCAUAGUUCAAGUUUCUCUAAAUUUGAUGACAUGGUCCUGUUCUGUCCUUGACUCAUUCUCUGAUCUUAGGUAAGUUAACUUCUUCAUGUCGCAGUUCCCCAUCUCAUUUAGAAGGUGCAAUGAAAAGCAAUUCAAACAGACUCGAUCCUCAUGAAGUCUUUCUGAGUUUGGUAUUAUUUUUCCUUCUUUUUUUCAGAUGAAGAAACAGGCUGCAAGGCCAGACCUCUUUCCCAUGAUUCUUCCCUUAGGGUGGGCUGCCCGCCUGCACAGAGCCCUCCUUAGCUUUGGGAAGCAAGCAUGCGCCAUGUGUUAAAGGCGUUAUUGGCAUGCCCCUCCGAG